AUCAACUAAUAAAGGAGGUUGAUGCUCAAAUCCCUAAUUAUCCAAAUCUCCCCCCUCGGUUGAUCUGCCAGCUUCAUAAUGUCAUGAUGCAUGGACUGAUGAAGUUUAUGCCCAAAUGACACUACAGCCGUUGAGCCCGGAAGAGCAAAAGGAGCCUUUUCUUCCAAUUGAGCUGGGUGGUGC